rnacentral:rRNA from 1 species
GACGAACGCUGGCGGCGUGCUUAACACAUGCAAGUCGAACGAGACGAUUGAAAGCUUGCUUUCGAAAGUCGAGUGGCAAACGGGUGAGUAACGCGUAGACAACCUGCCUUUGAGAUGGGGACAACAGUUCGAAAGGACUGCUAAUACCGAAUGUUGUAUAUUUUCCACAUGGAAGAUAUAUUAAAGAUGGCCUCUAUUUAUAAGCUAUCGCUCAAAGAUGGGUCUGCGUCUGAUUAGCUAGUUGGUGGGGUAACGGCCUACCAAGGCGACGAUCAGUAGCCGGUCUGAGAGGAUGAACGGCCACAGUGGGACUUAGACACGGCCCAGACUCCUACGGGAGGCAGCAGUGGGGAAUCUUCCGAAAUGGACGAAAGUCUGACGGAGCAACGCCGCGUGAGUGAAGAAGGUUUUCGGAUCGUAAAGCUCUGUUGUUUGAGACGAAUGUGUAUAUUAUUAAUACGGAUAUACAAUGACGGUAUUAAACGAGAAAGCCACGGCUAACUACGUGCCAGCCGCCGCCGUAA